GAGUUUGAUCAUGGCUCAGAGCGAACGCUGGCGGCAGGCUUAACACAUGCAAGUCGAGCGGAUGUAGCAAUACAUCAGCGGCAGACGGGAUAGUAACACGUGGGAACGUGCCCUUUGGUUCGGAAUAACUCGGCGAAAGCCGUGCUAAUACCGGAUAAGCCCUUACGGGGAAAGAUUUAUCGCCAUUGGAGCGGCCCGCGUCUGAUUAGCUAGUUGGUGAGGUAAUGGCUCACCAAGGCGACGAUCAGUAGCUGGUCUGAGAGGAUGAUCAGCAUCACUGGGACUGAGACACGGCCCAGACUCCUACGGGAGGCAGCAGUGGGGAAUAUUGGACAAUGGGCGCAAGCCUGAUCCAGCCAUGCCGCGUGGAUGAUGAAGGCCUUAGGGUUGUAAAAUCC
rnacentral:rRNA from 1 species